UUCCGGUUGAUCCUGCCGGACCCGACUGCUAUCAGAGUGAGAUUAAGCCAUGCGAGUUAACGUAGCAAUACGUGGCGCACGGCUCAGUAACACGUAGUCAACAUGCCCAGAGGACGUGGAUAACCUCGGGAAACUGAGUCUAAACCGCGAUAAGUGAGGAUUUCUGGAAUGGUUCCUGACCAAAAUCUAUAUGGCCUCUGGAUUGGACUGCGGCCGAUCAGGCUGUUGGUGAGGUAAUGGCCCACCAAACCUGUAACCGGUACGGGCUCUGAGAGGAGGAGCCCGGAGAUGGGCACUGAGACAAGGGCCCAGGCCCUAUGGGGCGCAGCAGGCGCGAAACCUCUGCAAUAGGCGAAAGCCUGACAGGGUUACUCUGAGUGACUUUCGCUAAGAAAGUCUUUUGGCACCUCUAAAAAGGGUGCAGAAUAAGGGGUGGGCAAGUCUGGUGUUAGCCGCCGCGGUAAUACCAGCACCCCGAGUGGUCGGGACGAUUAUUGGGCCUAAAGCAUCCGUAGCCGGUUCUGCAAGUCCCCCGUUAAAUCCAGCUGCUCAACAGAUGGGCCGCGGAGGAUACUACAGAGCUAGGAGGCAGGAGAGGCAAGCGGUACUCAGUGGGUAGGGGUAAAAUCCGUUGAUCCAUUGAAGACCACCAGUGGCGAAGGCGGCUUGCCAGAAUGCGCUCGACGGUGAGGGAUGAAAGCUGGGGGAGCAAACCGGAUUAGAUACCCGGGUAGUCCCAG
rnacentral:rRNA from 1 species